rnacentral:piRNA from 1 species
UGCUAGUAUUUGAAAAUAGGACCCAGAAA